rnacentral:lncRNA from 1 species
CGGCGAAGAGGAGGGCAACAGGAGCAGUAAGUUCAGAAGCCCUGGGAUGCUGGCUGGAGUGGCACUUGUCCCAGCUUCAGGACAUGCAAGGGACAGGUGGUUCCUCUGAUCACGGCAACCGAAUGAACCCUGCUUGUCCACCAGAGGAAGGUGCUGUGCCCGGUACCUAGUCACGCAUGGAGGCAUUUGGCGUCGGAGCUGCCCAGCAACUGUCCCUCCCAGUGCCUUGAGCCGUCAGGGAAACCACAGCAUCCUGACUUAGACUGAGACAGUCACACACGCAGAAGCUUUUCCCUUUGGAAAGGAAUUUUCCCUUUGGAAACAAGGAAUGAUAUUUGAUCUUCCCAAUCAACAUGCAGAAGGAAGUCCAAGUCUACGAUCGAAGGUGUCUCCUCUCUGCACAGAGACCUGGUGGAAAAGCCACCGACGUGGCCUGAAUGACUGACACCCUGGAUCCCAGUCUCCUCACCGGACUGACCAAGGGGAAGUACGUGGUAUCCAGCUGGGGCUGUCAUUUUUACAACACGAUGAGCAACACUGGGAAGUGUCCAGAGCUUGCCCUUCAAACGUCAUCUCAUCUCCUGCCUGGCAAGCGUAAGGUUGUGAGUUCGAGUCCCGGUACCAAACAAACAAACAAACAAAUCAAACAUCAUCUCAUCUCAAAUGCUUCCUGGUGCUUGGGUUCCAAGAUGAACUCUGCCUACUUCUGUUCUUCACCCUGACCUCAUUAAAGCCAUGAUCCCUCCCAUCCCCUAUGCCCAGGAUUUAGUUUUUGAGAUAGAGAUAAGGCAGGUUUUGAAGAAAAUAAAACUUCAAUAUGA